GUGAGUAACGCGUGGGCAACCUGCCCUAGAGACUGGGAUAACCUGCCGAAAGGAAGGCUAAUACCGGAUAUGCUCUUAGUGCCACCUGGCACAGAGAGGAAAGAAAUUCGCUCUGGGAGGGGCCCGCGUCCCAUUAGCUAGUUGGAGAGGUAACAGCUCACCAAGGCCACGAUGGGUAGCCGGUCUGAGAGGAUGAACGGCCACACUGGAACUGAGACACGGUCCAGACUCCUACGGGAGGCAGCAGUGGGGAAUCUUCCGCAAUGGACGCAAGUCUGACGGAGCAACGCCGCGUGGGUGAUGAAGGUUUUCGGAUUGUAAAGCCCUGUCUGGAGAGAAGAAUAAAUGACGGUAUCUCCGGAGGAAGCCCCGGCUAACUACGUGCCAGCAGCCGCGGUAAUACGUAGGGGGCAAGCGUUGUCCGGAAUUACUGGGCGUAAAGAGCACGUAGGCGGUUUUUUAAGUCAGCUGUGAAAGAUCCCGGCUCAACCGGGAGAGUGCAAUUGAUACUGAGAGACUAGAGUGCAGGAGAGGAAAGUGGAAUUCCUAGUGUAGCGGUGAAAUGCGUAGAUAUUAGGAGGAACACCAGUGGCGAAGGCGACUUUCUGGACUGUAACUGACGCUGAGGUGCGAAAGCCAGGGGAGCAAACGGGAUUAGAUACCCC
rnacentral:rRNA from 1 species